rnacentral:lncRNA from 1 species
UGCUUUCUUGUUCUUAUCAAUAAUGGUUGAACUCUUCUUCUGAUCCACUUCUCAAGAAUAUAUUUCCAUAAUACUUGUUUAAUGGGAUUUUUGAAAAUGCUAAGGAAUAUAAAGUAUAUUUGUAUUUUGCAACAUUGGUGGAAUCGUUUGAUUCGGGGGUAUUGAACUAUACCGGUGGCGAAUCGAGAUGGUUUCACCCUCUUGAUUGAGAAACCUUCAGAAGGGGAGAGGGGAGAAAGAGAGAGAGGAAGUGAGAGAGAGAGGAGGGAGGNNNNNNNNNNNNNNNNNNNNUCAGAAGGGGAGAGGGAGAAGAGAGAGAGGAAGUGAGAGAGAGAGAGGGAGGGAGGUAGAGUGAGUGGUUGGAAUAGGGGCGAGGAGGGGGGGUACUGAACUAUAUUGGUGGCGAACCGAGAUGGUUGCGGCCUCUAGAUUGAGAAACCAUCAGAAGGGGA